CAGCCGGCACACGACCGACCUUCAACGUUGAAAUAUGGUUGAAAUAAGGUCAGAUGUGUUUUGAACGUUGAAAUAAUGUUGAUAGAACGUUUAAUGUUGAACGGUUGAAAAACAGCCUGCAUAUGACAAGGCUUCAACGUUGAAAUGUGGUUGAAAAUACGUCAGUAGUUGCUUUAAUGUUGAAACAAUGUUGAAUGAUAAAUGGUUGAAAAAGGUUACAGAAAUCCAUGUACAAAUCAACGUUGACAUUUUUUUAUCAUGAUCUGUAUGUUGAAUUAACGUCAUGGCUUCACUCAAUAUUCAACAUGUUUGGUUACCAUGGUAUCGGAGGACUCGGCGCACGCGGCCGCGCGCAGCGCUUCACUUCACUUAAUUACGAACACCUGACCUGCAGUGCAGCAGAAUUCAGAGGUAAGCAUGUUACUUACUCCAGAGACGCACUAACUUGCACAGCAUUGAAUGGAAAAGGCUUUGUCCAUGUCCAGUUGAGGGGUAUCAAGAACACGCAGAUGGCCUAAACCUGUGUCAGCCUGGACAGACUGCAGUUCUGCUAUUCCACGCCAAGGCUUUUGUAUGGAUGUCUGACUACUACUGUGUUCUCUAAAGGUUUUCUGGAAGCUCCAUUUGAGUUCAUCAAGGACAUACUGAUGGCCUAAACCAGUGUCAGCCUAGACAGACAGACAGACAUCUAUUGCAGUUCUGCUACACAAGACCAAACUCUCUGCUUUUGUAUGGAUGUCUGACUAGUACGGUGUUCUCUAAAGGUAUAACUGGAGCAAAACAACAGCAUCCGUUACAGUGAAAUUUGUGUUCAUAAAAGAUAUGUGUAACAGGUCCAGUACAUUUGUCAUAAAGGUUAAAUCACAGUAAGUACUGUAAAAAUAACUUGUUUGCCUUUGCCACAACAGGUCAUAUAUACGCUAACACAUUUGUAUUUAGUGUUUUGUUUUGCCUCACUAAAGUGUUGUUGGAGCUUGGUAUGUUCACAGUUGAAAUCACUGAAGUCACAUGGAACGUUUUGACAAUGUGUUUUGUGCCUUAUCUUGACAAUGACCAUCUU
rnacentral:lncRNA from 1 species